rnacentral:sRNA from 1 species
AGAUGGAGUCUCUCUCUGUUGCCCAGGCUGGAGUGCAGUGGUGUGAUUUUGGCUUACUGCAACCUCCACCUCCCAGGUUCAUGCAAUUCUCCUGCCUCAGCCUCCAGAGUAGCUGGGAUUACAGGCACCCACCACCACCCCCGGCUAAUUCUUGUAUUUUUAGUAGAGAUAGGGUUUCACCAUGUUGGCCAGGUUGGUCUCGGACUCCUGACCUCAAGUGAUCUGCCCACUUCAGCUUCCCAAAGUGCUGGGAUUACACACAUGAGCCACUGUGCCUGGCCGCCUAUGGAUUUGAAUUACUCUUUUCUUUCUUAAAAUGAAAGCUACCAGAAUAAAACAUCAAUUUUUAUUUACCAGACUCUUGUUCCUAUUUAAUACUUAUUAAACAUGUUUCGAUGAUGUUAAUCCAUAUUACUAAAGACUGCAAAACUGUGGUCCAUCUUCUCUUGUUCUUAACUGCCAGACUUGCUGCGCAAAGAGCGAAAUUUUUAAAAGAUAAGAUGGAAGAAACACAGUGUUACAAGAGAGCUUUGGAUGCACAGGUAAGGGGACAGACAAAUAUUAUUGUUUUUAAAAUUAUGCAAUGCGUCAAUAACAUCCUAAAAUAUGUGUAAGUUGUUAACGAAUAUUUUUAUGUGUUAUGCAUUUGGUAGUUUUUGUGCCCCGCAUUCCUUCCUGUAAGAUACUGGUAUUUUACCACAUUACAGGGUUGUGCAUAAAGCUUAUUCCCUGGUAGAAUGAUAACCUGCAUUAUGUGUAUCUCUGUUUAAGAUAAAGAACAAACCCUCCCGGCUGCCCCCCUUUGAGCCAGACUCCUCCGAGCCCAUCUUUGGUAAGAAUGAGGGUGAACUGAUGGUGGAAAAGCAAAAGCGAGAACAAAAUUACAUGAAACACCAGCUGGAGGCAGCUGCUAACCACAAGAGGAAAGCCAUCCUGCAUCAACUAGUGGACCAGAGGUGGGAUUUGCAAAUGCUUCAGAGGACACAAAGAGAGCACUUGGCAGACAGAACCGCUGAGCUGGAGCGAGUAAAUAGAGUCAACCAAUGCUUACAGGAGGACUGGGAAAGGAGUGCUGCGAUGAAGAAGCAGCGAGACCUGGAGGACAAGGCUUUUGAACGGGCUUCAGACAAGCUGUUUCUCCUAGACCAGUGUGAGAAGUAUCGGCGCUGCAAGCAAUGCCAGAGGCGCACCUCCAACGUGGGCGAGAGCAACCUGUGGCCCCUGAACAAGUUCCUGCCUGGCUCCCGGUUGCUUGUGUAAAACUCAAAGUUUGGCUCUGCGUUUCCUGGGGAAAGUUUUUAUCUUUUACAUGUUUGGGGGUGAUUGUGAAACUGCGUAUUUUUACCUCAGAGAAAAAAAUCAUUGUUUAGGUUUGGUGCUUUCAUUAGAUUGCUUGUUAAGCCCUUAUUGAAUUCACUCCUGCUUUCCUCCCACCCCCAAUUAUUUCCUAUACUAGUUUCUGAUGGCAGUGAAGGUGUCUGAAUGGUCCUGAGGGCUAGAACCUGCUGCACAGGGGCUGGGAAUGGGAUCCAGCUUCAUUAUGGCUGCUGGGGUGCUGCUGACCCAGCCCUGCUGCUGCCCCAUGACUUUGUGUACAAAACUUUUUUCAUCUGUAAUGAAUAGUGGCAAUAAUAAAUAUUUUCUAAGCGCC